UCCGGUUUCACACCGGCAGUCUUCCUAGAGUCCCCAACUUAAUGAUGGUAACUAAGAAUAGGGGUUGCGCUCGUUAUUGGACUUAACCAGACAUCUUACGACACGAGCUGACGACAGCCAUGCAGCACCUAUCUCCUUGUGCCCGAAGGCAAAGCGCUAUCUCUAGCGUUGUCAAGGGAUGUUAAGGGUAGGUAAGGUUCUGCGCGUUGCUUCGAAUUAAACCACAUACUCCACCGCUUGUGCGGGCCCCCGUCAAUUCCUUUGAGUUUUAGCCUUGCGACCGUACUCCCCAGGCGGGAUACUUAAUGCGUUAGCUUUAGUACUCAGGACGUUAAAUUCCCGAACACCUAGUAUCCAUAGUUUACGGCGUGGACUAC
rnacentral:misc_RNA from 1 species